rnacentral:rRNA from 1 species
AUGUUUCUUCAAAAUUCUGUUCCAAACAAAAAUAUUGGGCCCGUUGAAAUUGUAAAGUUCUUAAAGCGGCAUGAUUGUUUUCCCGAUGCAAGUAUUGCAUAUAGAGUUCCGUUGACCAUCCCUAUAACUGUUGCAUCAACAGAACAAAGCUUUUCAAAAUCGAAGCUAUUGAGGUCUUAUAUGCGCACUACCAUGACACAACAAAGACUUACUGAUUUGGCCAAAAUAACACUUGAGAGUGAAGUACUGGAGAAGAUUGAUUAUGAGGAUAUUAUUAAAAAGAUUAUAAAGAACCAUAAAAGAAUGAUGUUAUUUAAGUGA